UACACUCCUGCGGAGGCAGCAGUGGGGAAUUUUGGACAAUGGGCGAAAGCCUGAUCCAGCCAUGCCGCGUGCAGGAUGAAGGCCUUCGGGUUGUAAACUGCUUUUGUACGGAACGAAACGGCCUUUUCUAAUAAAGAGGGCUAAUGACGGUGCCGUAAGAAUAAGCACCGGCUAACUACGUGCCAGCAGCCGCGGUAAUACGUAGGGUGCAAGCGUUAAUCGGAAUUACUGGGCGUAAAGCGUGCGCAGGCGGUUAUGUAAGACAGUUGUGAAAUCCCCGGGCUCAACCUGGGAACUGCAUCGGUGACUGCAUAGCUAGAGUACGGUAGAGGGGGAUGGAAUUCCGCGUGUAGCAGUGAAAUGCGUAGAUAUGCGGAGGAACACCGAUGGCGAAGGCAAUCCCCUGGACCUGUACUGACGCUCAUGCACGAAAGCGUGGGGAGCAAACAGGAUUAGAAACCCUGGUAGUCCCAUG
rnacentral:rRNA from 1 species